UCAGUUCAGACAAGAGAUGUGUCUUCUAGACAGCAUGAGUAACCAUGUGGCAUUUAGAAUAGCUGUAUAUUGUACGUAUAGCAUUUGAACAUGAUAAACAAGAAGGAAGACUCCACCUCAGAGAGAUAUGGAGCCCAAAAGAAUAUAGGAAAGUCCUUCUAAUUAACCCCUGAGGAAGACUUCUAAAGGGAAGAAGAAGAGUUUCAGCAUUAGCCUUCAUCUUGGUCAUCUCCUCUCCCCCUUAACCAGAGGAAAACUAGCUCUCUCAGAAUUUUUUGACUUCCCAUAUGUGUCCUAGACCUAGUUGCUUCCUGAAAAAAUCAUUCCUUGAAUACUUGAUAAGGUAUCCACAUCAGAAGCCAAAGACAAACUGGACACACUGAGUAAAGGAAUUUUAAAACUCUACCAAAAAAGUUACAUGACAUAUUUGGAGAACUUCAGAAAUACCUUACACAGGGGAGAAAACCAUUUAAAUAAAGAACUAGGAAUUA